GCGCUCGUGGCGGAAUUGGUAGACGCACUAGCUUGAGGUGCUAGCGAGUAACAUCGUGGAGGUUCGAGUCCUCUCGAGCGCACCA
rnacentral:tRNA from 1 species